AUUGAACGCUGGCGUCAGGCCUAACACAUGCAAGUCGAGCGGAUGAGAGGAGCUUGCUUCUCGAUUCAGCGGCGGACGGGUGAGUAAUGCCUAGGAAUCUGCCUGGUAGUGGGGGACAACGUUUCGAAAGGAACGCUAAUACCGCAUACGUCCUACGGGAGAAAGCAGAGGACCUUCGGGUCUUGCGCUAUCAGAUGAGACUAGGUCGGAUUAGAUAGUUGGUGAGGUAAUGGCUCACCAAGGCGACGAUCCGUAACUGGUCUGAGAGGAUGAUCAGUCACACUGGAACUGAGACACGGUCCAGACUCCUACGGGAGGCAGCAGUGGGGAAUAUUGGACAAUGGGCGAAAGCCUGAUCCAGCCAUGCCGCGUGUGUGAAGAAGGUCUUCGGAUUGUAAAGCACUUUAAGUUGGGAGGAAGGGUUGUAGAUUAAUACUCUGCAAUUUUGACGUUACCGACAGAAUAAGCACCGGCUAACUCUGUGCCAGCAGCCGCGGUAACAC
rnacentral:rRNA from 1 species